rnacentral:rRNA from 1 species
GUAAGGGAAGAACGUUAUUAGUAGGAAAUGGCUAAUAAGUGACGGUACCUUACCAGAAAGGGACGGCUAACUACGUGCCAGCAGCCGCGGUAAUACGUAGGUCCCGAGCGUUAUCCGGAAUUAUUGGGCGUAAAGGGCACGUAGGCGGACAAAUAAGUUUGAUGUCAAAUAUGAUGGCUCAACCAUCAAGAGGCGUUGAAAACUGUUUAUCUAGAAUCUCGGAGAGGUAAGUGGAAUUCCAUGUGUAGCGGUGGAAUGCGUAGAUAUAUGGAGGAACACCAAUGGCGAAGGCAGCUUACUGGACGAAGAUUGACGCUGAGGUGCGAAAGCGUGGGUAGCAAACAGGAUUAGAUACCCUGGUAG